rnacentral:misc_RNA from 1 species
GAUGAAGAACGCAGCGAAAUGCGAUAAGUAAUGUGAAUUGCAGAAUUCAGUGAAUCAUCGAAUCUUUGAACGCAUAUUGCGCUCUUUGGUAUUCCGAAGAGCAUGCUUGUUUGAGUAUCAGUAAACACCUCAACCUCUUCUUGAUUUUUCAAAAGGAGGGUGGACUUGAGCUAUCCCAACAACCUUUACCGGUCGGCGGGCGGCUUGAAAUGAAGGUGCAGCUGGACUUUUAUCUGAGCUAAAAGCAUAUCUAUUUAGUCCUCGUCAAACAGGAUUAUUACUUUUGCUGCAGCUAACAUAAAGGAUAAUUGUCCUCUUUGCUGACUGAUGCAGGAUUUUACGACACUUUAUGUGUUGUUCAACUCGAUCUCAAAUCAAGUAAGACUACCCGCUGAACUUAAGCAUAUCAAUAAGCGGAGGA